rnacentral:rRNA from 1 species
UUGCACGCUGGCGGCAGGCCUCACCCCUGCCAGUCGCGCGGAUUAAGGGAGCUUGCUCCUGGAUUCAGCGGCGGACGGGUGAGUAAUGCCUAGGAAUCUGCCUGGUAGUGGGGGAUAACGUCCGGAAACGGGCGCUAAUACCGCAUACGUCCUGAGGGAGAAAGUGGGGGAUCUUCGGACCUCACGCUAUCAGAUGAGCCUAGGUCGGAUUAGCUAGUUGGUGGGGUAAAGGCCUACCAAGGCGACGAUCCGUAACUGGUCUGAGAGGAUGAUCAGUCACACUGGAACUGAGACACGGUCCAGACUCCUACGGGAGGCAGCAGUGGGGAAUAUUGGACAAUGGGCGAAAGCCUGAUCCAGCCAUGCCGCGUGUGUGAAGAAGGUCUUCGGAUUGUAAAGCACUUUAAGUUGGGAGGAAGGGCAGUAAGUUAAUACCUUGCUGUUUUGACGUUACCAACAGAAUAAGCACCGGCUAACUUCGUG